CGGGGCGUAGCGCAGGCCGGCAGCGCACCUGCUUUGGGAGCAGGGGGUCACAGGUUCAAAUCCUGUCGCCCCGA
rnacentral:tRNA from 1 species